rnacentral:SRP_RNA from 2 species
GCCAGGCAUAGUGGUGCAUACCUGUGAUCCCAGCUACUUGGGAGGCUGAGGCAGGGGGAUUGCUUGAGCCCAGGAGAUCAAGGCUGCAGUGAGCCAUGAUCGCACCAUUGCACUCCAGCCUGGACAACAAAGCAAGACCCUGUCUCAA